rnacentral:lncRNA from 1 species
UUCAUUUUAACAGAAGCGCCAUCGACGUGGCUCAAGGUUGCCUGGCUAGUGGGUGGUGGAACUAAACCAACCCUGGAGUUAUGGCUCUCCAAACGGCUUUCCCAUCAGUGCAGGAGGGAGGCCGGGCAGGGGUUAUCUCUCUUCCUUCAAAGAUUUUAGAAACCGAGGCUCCGCGACUUGUUAAAACCAGACCCACUGGGUGCGCGACAGCACACCUUCUCCAGAAUCCCAGGUGAAGGCUAGCAAACCGCCAAGUCGAAUUCAUUCUCUCACACACUCCCAAAGCCCUGGAGCUGCAGGCGACCGCGGGUGGUUCCGGGGUGGGGGGUGGUCCGCGGCACAGCUCUCCUGGAGCUCCGGCGGCCGAGGGCCCUACCUCCCGCACACUGCCCAAGGCCGGGUCCCCGCACCCCAGCCAAACGCUGGGCCCACGGAGGGAUAGAGCCACUGGUAGCCUGGAGCAUCCGCGGGCUCCGGAGAAACCUCCCGGGCGCGCAGAGGAACCCGCGCCUCUUACCUCUGGGAGCCGCGCUCCCCGGCCGCGGCCG